rnacentral:rRNA from 1 species
CACGUAGUUAGCCGUCCCUUUCUGGUAGGCUACCGUCACAGUGUGAACUUUCCACUCUCACACCCGUUCUUGACUUACAACAGAGCUUUACGAUCCGAAAACCUUCUUCACUCACGCGGCGUUGCUCGGUCAGGGUUGCCCCCAUUGCCGAAGAUUCCCUACUGCUGCCUCCCGUAGGAGUCUGGGCCGUGUCUCAGUCCCAGUGUGGCCGAUCACCCUCUCAGGUCGGCUAUGUAUCGUCGCCUAGGUGAGCCAUUACCUCACCUACUAGCUAAUACAACGCAGGUCCAUCUUGUAGUGGAGCAAUUGCCCCUUUCAAAUAAAUGACAUGUGUCAUCCAUUGUUAUGCGGUAUUAGCUAUCGUUUCCAAUAGUUAUCCCCCGCUACAAGGCAGGUUACCUACGCGUUACUCACCCGUUCGCAACUCAUCCAAGAAGAGCAAGCUCCUCUCUUCAGCGUUCUACUUGCAUGUAUUAGGCACGCCGCCAGCGUUCGU